rnacentral:rRNA from 1 species
UCCGUAGGUGGAUAAUUAAGUCAGAGGUGAAAUCCUGCAGCUCAACUGUAGAAUUGCCUUUGAUACUGGUUAUCUUGAGUCAUUAUGAAGUGGUUAGAAUGUGUAGUGUAGCGGUGAAAUGCAUAGAUAUUACACAGAAUACCGAUUGCGAAGGCAGAUCACUAAUAAUGUACUGACACUGAGGGACGAAAGCGUGGGGAGCGAACAGGAUUAGAUACCCUGGUAGUC